UGAGAAAUGUGUUGUAUCCCUCGUCUCGGGAUACAGUGCGGGAUCGCUGCCGAUGACUCCUCGGGAUCAGGUUUCCAAAAGAUAACGCCGAGAGUUAAUAACAAGAGAUAUAUAUUUAUUCUUCCUCUACACUUUCUUGAUCGAACCCGAAAGAUGUAUAUCUAAGUACAGUUGGUAGCUUCGACUAGCGACCUAUACUCGUCGCUAUUAUUAUUAAUUAUGAGCCCGCUCGUUCUCUUUCCGCGGGCCUUUAUAUACUCCGCUUUUCGGCUUGUUACCAAGAGAUGUCACUCGCGGUCACGGGCCUUUGUCCCGUGCGCUAGCUUAGCCAGCAAUUGCUAGCUAGGCGCAUUCCACCGGAAAUCAGGAGAUUUCGGGUGGCAAAAUGAGUAGUAACCGGAUAUGUUGCCCGGUGCGAUGUCCGGUGUGAAGGCCGGUGCGAUGCCCGGUAGCAAGGCCGGACGGUGAUAUCACGCGAGGUGUCACUCGACACCCUUAUCGUUAUUGCAAGUAAAGUUUGUGUGAGUGUCGCGCACUCACAACAAAUGCUACUUGGUCAACGUAUCGAAAACAACUAACUGCUUUAUGGUAUUGCGAAGUCAUUAAAUCCUUUUCGAUACCGUCCAUUAGCGAGCGCACUAUCCUUAUCUAUCACUAAAAAUCCGUACUUUGUUGCCAACAAGUAUGACAUAAAUUGCUAAAAUCCUCGUAAGACAUAUCGGUAUUUACAUGAUCGUUGUACGCAUGUUUUAGAUUAGUACCAUCCUGCUUGAAUAAAAUUAGCAAAUUCGCAUUGUCGAGUAUAAGAUGUUUCGGUAUCUUUGCAUACGUCUGACAGAGAUAAAAGCAGUCGACGUCCACGUGUCGCCCCAUUGCAAAGUAGUCUCUUAUCGUAUCUUGCUUAUCACACGCCACGUCAUCAAAGAUAAAAAUGGAAUUCGGAAGCGCUUCACUCGGCUGAAUGACAUCACAGUUAUUGGAAAAUGCAAAAUAACUAACUUCUUCAAUCGGUGUCAAUAAAUUUUCCAAAUAUCGAUAUUUCGGUUGUUGUAAUGAUUUCGAGUACACAUACACAUUCUCAAAACGUACUCCAUGCGGACUUUCCAACGUUUGUCUUGCCACAAUUUGACGGACCGCAAAUUAUACCGCGUAUAGACUCGGCAACAUGUUUCCAUGUCUCCGUAUCUUUCGUUCGGACAUUAUCCUGUCAUCGAAAUUUGUUAUUUUAAUCGCGGGUGAAUGUUGUACGAACCGCAUAUUUUUCCCCUCUCAUAAGAACUGAUAAAAAUUAUAUUAAGACCGAUCUAUUUAUAGAGACGCGCCGAGCAAAAUUGCUCAGUAUAUAAAAUGUUUCUCAUAUUGUCACAUCCCUCUGAUAUACUCGAUUUGAGCGCCAAACAGUUAGAAUUCGUAUCGCAACCUAUUUUGCUACGCGUGUGUGGCAACUAUAUCGAACACGUGUGGGAUAGGCUUCCGGAACAUAUAAAGACUGAUCCAGAGGUUCAAAGCUAUCGUCGUUGUUACAAGCAUUAUUAUCAAUCGUGGCAGCAGACGCACAUCGACGGCCCCGCACCGUUGAUAAAGAAUUGUCGCGAAUGCCAGCGGUAGGUCGCGGCUUGUUAAAUCGUGCGAUAAAUGCGCUUCCUUUUGAACUGCAUAUACCUGGAUAUCAAUUUUGCGGUCCGGGUACUAGGCUGAAAAAGCGAUUGGCCAGAGGCGAUCGGGGUAUUAAUCCGUUGGACGUGGCGUGUCGCGAACACGACAUUGCGUACUCCCGGAGCAACGAACUCACCGACAGACACGCAGCUGACAAUAUACUCGCUGCGGAAGCGCGAAAACGCAUUACAGCGAACGAUUCGACUUUCGGAGAAAGAGCUGCUGCAGCAACCGUUUCGGCAGCUAUGAAGACUAAGAUGAAAAUCGGUAUGGGCUUG